GGGCGCGGAGCAGACCCCUGGAGGCCGGCCAGUGGGGAGAGGCUGGGCCUGGGGACGGCGGGGCAGGGUCCCCUUCUGGCUCCCGGCGCGCGCCGCCACGACCCUCCGCUGCUGCCUCUCCGUACCCUGGUGGGGGCCAGCUCCCUCCUGGGGGGCAGCGAGCUGCCUCUCCCCCAGGCCCAGGCUGCCCCUGCUCCCUGCCCUGCGCUGUGCCCGGAGCCUUUGCACAAGACCUGGUUUCUGGGCUUCGGGGGUGACCGAGGACCCCGAUGGGGGACCAGACCGAACCACAGGAAUGAGCUGUGCGGGCCAGACGUGUUGUCCUGCUUGAUCUGAAAUGUUCCUGCUCUGGGAGCUCAAGAGGAGGGGGGCGAGGUCUAGGCCGGUCUCUUCUUUGUAAAGGCAUGCCCAUUCUUUUAGGAGUAGCUUCAAAAGCCCCUUCCUCUGGGAAGCCUUCCAGAGUUGCCACCUGCAUCUCCGAGCUUCUCAUCUCGUUUAGCUCGUUGAGCUAGUGCUUACUAACUUGUUUCACGUGUGUGCCUGAGUGUGCAAGUCUCCGGGUCCCUCUCUAGGCAGGGGCUCUAUCGUUGUAACGCAUGCACGCGAAUAUGACUUUAAAAGGAUUGAAAUGGUUAGAAGGUGCCAACAUGUGGGCCUGCAGCUGUGGGAAGUGUCUGCGAAGGUCACAGGCUGAAGAAUGAUGGCCCCAGGGCCAGGUAGGACUGUAGACAGCAUUUUCCUCACUCAUGCCCUUGGAUUUUAUUUGAAUCGGAGGCCAGCAUUUUAAAAUGCGGAAAUGUCUUUCACAUCUACUCACACAAGAUCUAGGUUUUAGCAUGUCUUUAAAGCUCAGACGUGUCCACAUGCCGCCCCCCCCCCACCAUGUCUACACGGUGCACUGAGCAGGAAUUGAGGAGCUCCGCCUUCAGAAUCGGCAUCCAAUUUCCAGAGCCCCAGUCCCCACUAGUCUCCACCAUCUCCCUGACAUGGAAGCAAAGUAUCAUUUUGUCAUGGAUCAUCACCUAGCUUCCUUCAUUCGUUCUGAUGAAGUGCCUGGCCUGUGGCUGUUUGGGUUCUGGGUUCCCGGAGUAGAUGGAGACCUGGAGCAGCAUCGCGAGCAGAAGAGUGGGAGGCAAAGGGACAGCAGAGAGAAGCACAGUGUCUGGGAAGUUAGGGGAGACCGUGAAGCACAGUUUUGCUCUUAGGUGAAUCAUAGAGGAGGGCUCUCGUUCCAUGUUGCAUUGCGUCCCUCCACCCCAAUUGUGUCCGCUCAGUAUAUCGACGUCUUAACCCCACUAGCUCAGAAUGGGACCUUAUUGGAAAUAGGAUCGUUGCAGAUAUAAUUAGUUAAGGUGAGGUCAUACUGGAAUAGAACAGCUCCCUUCCCCCUCCCCCCCCCCCCCCGAUUCAAUGUGAGUGCUGUCCCUAUAAGAACAGGGCCAUGUGAAGAAACCAAAGCAGGGAGAAGCCACGUGGGGAGGGAGGCAGAGAUUGUGGUGAUGCAUCUACAAAGCAAGGGACACAAGGACUGCCUGCUGUCACCGGCUGCUGGGGGGAGGGGGGCAGGCUAUCCCUGAGCCCACAGAAGGAAGCCACCUGCCGGCACCUUCGCUUCAGACUUCUGGCCUCCGACUGCGAGAGAACGCGGUUGUGCUCAAAGCCACCCACUCUGGGAUACUUUGUUACAGCAGCCCUAGGGAAUAACAUAGCUCGGAAGUCAAGAGGCGCUAUCAUUUCCUUUAAUAGAUGAUUUAAAAAUUCACGGUAAGUUUUCGAUCAUUGUCGUCAGGGAAAGCAGGAGUUGAGAAAAGUACUUCAUCCAACAGCAUUAGCUUUACCAUUUAGAACCAGAAAGCAGAUUUAUCAGAGAUUUUUCCAAGCAAUCCAAGCACGGGGUGAGAAGGUUCUGGACUCAGGUGGGGUUGGAGAGGGCCAAAGGAGUUUUCAGAGUUCGUAGGUAUGGAAAGAGGGGAGUCCAAGAUGAAAUCAUAGCCCACCUGCGUCUCCUGGAGGGCUUGGCAGGUACCAACUGCCAGGCCCCUCCCCCACGGUCUGACUCAGUGGGUCUGGGACGCUGCUCGAGAAUUGGCAUUUUUACCAAGCUCCUGGGACAGGCUGAUGGUGCUGGUGUGUGGACCACAUUUUAGGUGGCAUAAACGACUGUGUCUCUGGCCUAGAAGCCCCUGGAACGCCAGACCCCACGAAGGCAGGGACUUGGUCUUGUUCACCACGGCAUCACAGGGUCGAGAACAGUGCCUGGACGCCAUAGGAUCACGAUGUUCCUCCCGGGCUCCGGAACUGUUGGCCCGUCGGCUCUGCAGGCGUUUCUCCUGGAUGCCUCACAGAUCCAGAGAUCAGGAAUAACAUAAAGGGCCAGAAGUCAAAGAUGAACGUACCUGGAGACAAAGAUCCAGCAAGGGUUGUAUCCAAAGGAUGCCAGAGACUGAUCCGUCAGGAGCGUGGGUUGGUUGAAGCUGCUGACCCUGUGGUCAGGUCAUUGAGGCGUUGGGUGAGCCCCUCACAGGAUGCAGGGGGGGCUCCCCACUUCCCAAGGGAGAGCUAUCAAGGAAGUGAAUCUCAUUCCCGCAAAAGCCAUCGCAGGAGAGAGAGGCCACAGAUGUAAUGGGAGAGAAAGAACACUUUCUACAGGAGAAAGAUCCCACAGCGGAGAAGCCUGUGGUGAGAGAUUCCAGCAGACGGCAGAGGUCACCCAGCGCCAGAAAACUGGUAACGUGAAGAAAACCCAUCAAUGUCAGGAAUGUGGGAAAACGUUCAACCGGAGCUCAAACCUGAUCAUCCACAAGAGAAUUCACACGGGGAGGAAACCCUAUAUGUGUGAUGAAUGUGGGAAAGACUUCAACCAGAGUUCAAAUCUCAUUAUUCAUUAGAGAAUUCACACAGGGAAGAAACCUUACCUGUGUUGCAAGUGUGGGAAGGACUUCAACCAGAGCUCCAACCUGGCCAGGCACCAGCGGAUCCACAGCGGCGAGAACCCCUAUCAGUGCCAGGAGUGCGGCAAGGCCUUCCACGGGAGCUGCAGCCUGGUCCUGCACCAGAGGACCCACGGCGGCGGCGGGAAGCCUUUCGCGUGCCACAAAUGCGGGAAGGCCUUCAGCCAGAGCUCGGACCUGGUGAUCCACCACAGAGUUCACACUGGAGAGAAGCCGUACGAGUGCUGAGUGCGGCCAGAGCUUCAGACAGAGUUCACACCUGGCCACACACCAGAGGACCCACACCAGGGUGAAGCCCUUCACGUGCCCUGAGUGUGUGAAGGCCUUCAGACAGCGUGCGUGCCUCACCAAGCACCAGAGGCUGCACAGCGGGGAGAGGCCCUAUGCGUGUGGCGGGUGUGGAAAGGCCUUCAGCGGGCGCACGGCUCUGCUCAAGCACCAGAGGCUGCACGUGGGCCAGGACGCGGGCCAGCUGGGACAGCAGAGAACAGAGAGGGAGGAGAAGCCCUAUGAGUGUACGGAGUGUGGGAAAACCUUCCAGGGAAGCUCAGACCUCAUCCGGCACUGGAUAAUCCACACCGACGAGAAGCCCUACGAGUGCAGGGCCUGCAGGAAGGCCUUCAGCCAGAGCUCACACCUGCUCACGCACCAGAAAAUCCACACCGGGGAGAAGCCAUAUCCAUGCGGUGAGUGCGGGAAAGCCUUCCGGCAGCGCUUACUCCUUGUCCAGCACCGAAGAAUCCACACCGGGGAGAAGCCCUACGAGUGCGGGGCCUGCAGGAAGCCCUUCAUCUGGCGCACAGCCUUUCUCAAACACCAGAGGCUUCACGCUGCAGAGAAACCCCAGGGAUGCGGGAGGACACUGAGCCAGGACCAGGUGCCUGGGGAUGAGCGGGGAACUCAUGGGGAAGAGAGAGCGCCCCGGCGCAGCCAGCGUGCCAGAACCUUCCAGGGCAGCUCGGACUUCGUGGGACCUCCAGUGACUCGCGCAGGAGAGAAGCCCCAUGCGUGUGCAGAGUGUGGGAAAUCCUUCCAGCAGAGCUCAGCACAAGGCACCAGAGAAUCCACAGCGGGGAGAAGCCUUACCCCUGUGCUAAAUGCAGGAAGUCCUUCAGGGGCAGCUCCGACCUCAUUAAACACCACCGCAUGCACACGGGAGAGAAACCCUACAAUUGCCCUGAAUGUGGGAAGGCCUUCAGUCAGAACUCCCACCUUCUCAGUCACCAGAGGAUCCACACUGGAGAGAGACCCUUUGAAUGUGGCGCUUGUGGGAAGGCCUUCGGGGGGCGCAUGGCCUUCCUUAAACACCAGGGGCUGCACCCCGGGGAGGGGCCGGGGCGCAGCGACAGAACCCACAGACAAGACUUGGAGGUGAUGGAACCCUAAGGGACCCAGGGCACGCCGGAGGGAGGCCAUUCUUAUUGCACUGUCAAGGUGUUUGUCACUGGAAAGCAUCUGGAGGCAGGAAGACAUCAGGGCGCCGCGCCAGGCGGGAAACCGGAGUGUAACCAGGCGACAGAGCUCGGAUAUACAGGCUGUCCUUCUGACUCCGAGUUGACACUGGAUGUGGUCCCCGGGAUGUAAUUACUGGACAAUGUUUCAGGGGAUGUCUACUGUCAUUAAAGUCGUUAGACGUCACCGUGGCAACAGCCCCAGAACUAAAUUCUUCAUGAAAGGAGCCAUUUCAGCCCUGACCCCCUGGUCCAGGGACAGGUCUAAAUCUGCUUUACGUACUUUAGGGGUGGUUCCCAUUAGGGAUGUGCUUUA